rnacentral:pre_miRNA from 1 species
UCACCUCCGCAGGCUGCUGGCCCCAGGCUGGGCUGGGCGAGUCUCUCUCCCAAAGGCUCACCUCAAGCACCACUAGGAGC